UAUUGGCAGAGCUAAAAGAGCUUUAUAACACUUGCCCAAGCAGGGCAGAGGCCGAGGGGCCAGAGAGAGGCAUGUUUGCAGGCAUGGCUGGGAAGAGGCUGUUCCGAUGGAAGAACUGUGUCCUGAGCAUUCCUGAGCCGGUUGUAACCUAUUAUUUCCCUAAUAAAGCUCGUAAUCCUGAUCACUGUCUACGAGUUCUGUGUGACUGUUGCAGUGAAUUAUCUAACUCAGCGGAGAAGUAGAGAGUGCUGUGGGAGAGCCAUUUGGUAUUAGAAUUGGUAAAGAUAGCAGAGGAAGGAGGCAUGUUUGAACACUGCCUCAUAGAAAUCAACCUUGGGCUGUUGAUCUUGAUUCUCCUUCCCCCUCAUGAAGUUAGAGGAAGUUAAAUGCCACCCGCAUGCUAUUUUUAUAGUAAACAACCCCACAGAGGGUUUCAGAUAGAAAGAAGCAAGAAAAGCAGCAAGAAGAGAGAAGAAGCAGAGAGAGAGAGGAGGCAAAGAACCUCUAAAAGAGCUGUAACAUGGGUCAAGGGCUGUGACACUGAAGACAGCAAGAGGCCCAGAAAGGGCCCAGUGGCAGAGCUGGUGGCAACGGGCCUGGGUGAGAUCCAGCAACAGUCAGUGGUGACAGAUGGCAAGGUCAAGAGGAGGCCUGUCCUUGGGGGGCCGAGAGGAGGCCUGCAUGAUUGAGAGGAGCCCAGAGAGCUGUUGUACACUGAAGAAGGGAGGCUUUGCCUUACAUGGUUCCUGAAUCCUGAUCCUGUGUUGUAGCCUGUUAAUCCUGAUUCCACAUUGUACCCUGUUCCUUCAUAAACCACUUAACUGUGGUAAGAGACCAAUAGAUGUAUCCUUGAUGGCCAUUCAAAAGCUUUUAAGACCCCAGACGCCACUCAUCAAAGUAGGAUGCAGCACUUUAUGGACUAUGUUGUGCCAGUUGAUGUAGAUGACCCCUGAGUAGUCUGUGAGUUCUGUGUGGCCAUUGCAAUGGAUUAUUGAAGCCAGAAGAGAAGUAGAGAAUGCUGUGGAAGGGACAGCUGGUGUCAGAAUUGGUAAAAAGUUUGGAGGAUGGAGGUAUGUCUGACCUCCACCUCAUGGGAAUCAGCUUUGGGUUGAUCCUGGUCAUUAUCCUCCCUGAAGUUAGACAGGUUCUGAUGCUACUACUACUACCAUUUUACGAGGUCAAAAUGAAAAUAUUUUUGAUAUAUUGGGUUAGAUAAAAUACAUUAUUAAACCAUCUAAGACACAACAAUUGGUCUCUAUUCACCUGGAACAACACAGGAAAAAGGAGAGUCAAGAGUAGGAGGGGGUUAUGGAAUGUGUGGCUACCCGCCUCCAGGAAAAACUGCCUCUUUUGCCACGAGACCAGAAGAACUGGAUGGAGCCCAGCUACCAUUACUGACCAUUUUGAUUGAAGAUUUCAUAGAAAAAGCCUGAUCAAAAAGGGGAAAAUGCAGAACAUAAUUUCAAAUUUUCAUGGACUGUGGACUUUCUGGAGCCAUGGAGGCGGAUGAACCCCUAAAACAGUUGCCUGGAGAUAAUAUUUGAACCUUGACCCAGAAAUAUCCCCUGAGCCCUUUUUAAAACCAAAAAAUAGUUCAGCUUAACUAGUAAAAAAGGUCUGCCUUUAGCAUUGUGCUGUUUUAAGAGCUAUCCAUGUGGGAUCAAAUUGACAACAGCAACUUGCAAGAUUGGAUGGAAACCUUAGGGGACAGUGAGUUUAUGUUAAUGGGGGAGGGACAACUCAGAAAAGGAGGGUAAGAAUGGCUGCACAACUAGAAGAAUGUAAUCAGUGUCACUAAAUGGUACAUGUUAGAAACUGUUGAAUUGGUGUAUGUUUUGCUGUGUAUAUUCUCAACAGCAACAAAAUAAAUAAAAUUUAAAGAAAAAAAAACAUUAUUAAAGUUAAUUUCGUCUGGUUUUUGUUACCUUUUUCAAUGUGACUACCAGAAAAUUUUAAAUUACACAUGUGGAACAGGACUUCCGGAAUGGUGGAGCGAGGAGCUCAGCAAAUCUUCUCCCAAAAGAGCGAGGCUCAAACUGGAUAAAGUUGUUAAAACUAACCAUUUUAGGACUCUGGAAACGAACUGAAGGCAUCCAACAUUUGAUAAGCAUUUAUUUAAAAAAAAAUCAAGAACAGGACUACUGAAUCUCAGUAUAAGCAUAAACAGUGGGAGUCUGUGGAGUUUAAAUGUGGGGUUACUUUUAUUUUCUCCCACUCCGUGGUGGUUCUACCAGAGCCAGGUAGACUGAGAAAAUCUGAAGUUCUGCUGACACUGGAAGGGGUUGAAUUGAUUGGAGGGGAAGGGGAUACCCAAGAGGUGUUUGUCAAAAACAAGAGCAGUCUCUGCGGCAAACAGCUGGGCAAGACCAACAUGGCAGCUAUCUGAGUCCAUGAUACUGGUGGGAGCAAGCAAUAGUUCAGUCAGAAAUUUAGUAAGGAAAUUCAGUCAAUAAUACAGUCAUAAUGGGCCUUGAUAAAGCUCCCAGAUGUCCUUGGUGGUCUUCAAGGCACGUGCACAGAGAGGCCCCAGCUAUACACUCAUCCCCGGCUGAAUAUGAGGCUUUGUGCCAGCAGAAAGUAAAAGCCAGGGCCAACUUGUAAACUGCCUGAACUCUGAAUGCAUUUCCCAAGUCAUAUACAGAGUGACCCAUAUACUCAUUUACAGAGAAGGUGGAAGCUUUACUGGUUCAAGAUUUUUAAGCACAAUCUCUGGCCAAUAAUUGGCUGGCCACUAAGCUAUACUGAUCCAGGGGAAAGCCUUAGGAAACCAGGCUUAAAUAUAAAAAAUGAAUUUAAAAAAUAUUGGAACAGAGACAUCAGUGGCCACACACUGUAUGCGAAACAGACUCUACAGAAUUAGUCCAGGCAAGAAACUAAAAUAAAAAACCAGCAUCAACAACACCACCUAUGGAAAGGGAAGAGGUACAGAAUCCAGUGCUUCUACUAUGCCGUUGUUGUUAGGUGCCGUCGAAUCGGUUCCAACUCAUAGCGACCCUAUGCACAAUAGAACGAAACACUGCCUGGUCCUGAGCCACCCUCACAAUCGUUGUUAUGCUUGAGCUCAUUGUUGCAACCACUGUCAAUCCACCUCGUUGAGUGUCUUCCUCUUUUCUGCUGACCCUGUACUCUGCCAAGCAUGAUGUCCUUCUCCAGGGACUAAUCCCUCCUGACAACAUGUCCAAAGUAUGUACGAUGGAGUCUCUCUGUCCUUGCUUCUAAGGAGCAUUCUGGUUGUACUUCCUCUAAGACAGAUUUGUUCGUUCUUUUGGCAGUCCAUGUUAUAUUCAAUAUUCUUCGCCAACACCACAAUUCAAAGGCGUCAAUUCUUCUCUGGUCUUCCUUAUUCAUUGUCCAGCUUUCACAUGCAUAUGAUGUGAUUGAAAAUACCAUGGCUUGGGUCAGGUGCACCUUAGUCUUCAAGGUGACAUCUUUGGUCUUCAACACUUUAGAGAGGUCCUUUGCAGCAGAUUUACCCAAUGCAAUGUGUCUUUUGAUUUCUUGACUGCUGCUUCCAUGGCUGUUGAUUGUGGAUCCAAGUGAAAUGAAAUCCUUGACAACUUCUAUCUUUUCUCCAUUUAUCAUGAUGUUGCUCAUUGGCCCAGUUGUGAGGAAUUUUGUUUUCUACUAUAUGUUACUAAAAUUGUCCAGUAUUCAAGGAAAAAUUAUGAGACAUGCAAAGAAACAAGAAAGUGUAGGCCAUGCACAGGGGAAAAGCAGUUAAUAGAAACUGUCUCUGAGGUGACCCAAGUGUUGGGCUUAGCAGACAAGGACUUCAAAGCAGCUACCAGAGAUGUAUUCAAAGAACUAAAAGAAACAAUGUUAUAAUGAAUAUUUUGUAAGUAUGAUGACCAUGACUCAUCAAAAACAAAUUUCUAAUAGAGAAAUGAUUUUUUUAAAAAAAAGCCAAAUGGAAAUUUGAGAGUUGAACAGUAUAAUAACUAAAAUGAAAAACUCAGUAGAGGGGUUCAAUGGCAGAUAUGAGCUGACAGAAUCAGUGAACUUGAAGAUAGAUCAAUAAAGAUAUCCAAUCAGAAGAUUAAAAAAAAAAAAGGAUAGGAAAAAUGAGCAGAACC